rnacentral:rRNA from 1 species
CAGCUGGUUGGUGGGGUAAGAGCCUACCAAGGCGACGAUCGGUAGCUGGUCUGAGAGGACGAUCAGCCACACUGGGAUUGAGAACGGCCCAGACUCCUACGGGGGGGCAGCAGUGAGGAAUUUUCGGCAAUGGGGGCAACCCUGACCGAGCAACGCCGCGUGCAGGACGAAGGUCUUCGGAUCGUAAACUGCUUUUCUCUGGGAAGAGUAAGGACGGUACCAGAGGAAUCAGCCCCGGCUAACUACGUGCCAGCAGCCGCGGUAAUACGUAGGGGGCGAGCGUUGUCCGGAGUUACUGGGCGUAAGCCCACGCAGGCGGUCGUGUAAGUUUGGGGUGACAGUUCCCGGCUCAAC